CAAUCUCACAGUUUAAAAUCUCCUAGGAAUCACGGACAAAACAUUCCAGACUCCUAGAGUUUAUACAACUGAUUUUUCAGUCAGAAUUAUCAAGAAAUGUAGAUCCUAAAUUCUACAAUGAUGUAGUGACUGUACCUGCCCCACUGCAAAACAAAAAGAGCCUGUGUCACCUAUUAGGCAGAUGCUUGAAACUUUCCAGUUAGAUUUCACUUAUCAGUCAGGUGCGGUGACAGCACUUUGGGAGGCCAAGGCGGGCGAAUCACUUGAGGUCAGGAGUUCGAGACCAGCCUGGCCAACAUGGUGAAACCCCGUCUCUACUAAAAAUACGAAAAUUAGCCCGGCAUCGUGGCGCACACCUGUAAUCCCAGCUACUCAGGAGGCUGAGAUAGGAGAAUCACUUGAACCUGGGAGGCAGAGGUUGCAGUAAGCGAAGAUCAUGCCACUGCACUCCAGCCUGGAUGACAUAGCAAGACUGUCUCAAAAAAAAAAAAAAGAGAGAGAGAUUUAACUUAUCAUUGUUAAAAACAAACAUGAUUCCUUUAGCUGAAGCCAGCAAGGUUUUUGGUCCCUGUGAAAAUUCAGAAUGCCCUAGAAAUAAUCCAGUAACCAGUAACAAGUAACUGGUUCCUGGUGUCACUGAGGUUGCUGAAUUACCUAUUCUCUUGACUUCAGAGUUCACACAAAAGCAGAGAAAAAAGAGAAGGGGUACUCUUUGCAGGAAGGAGCAUGGAAGUGGGGAACAGGGUGCAGGAAAAGGAAACUGGAUUCAUGGACAACCUACUGUAGUUCCCUCACAUUUGGAGCUAAUCGUAACAGCUUCGCCAGACUCUAUCCAGGACCUGGAAGGGGACUCCUUGGGGAAAGAAAGAAUCGGCACCACAUACAGAUACGGAUUUAUUGAAAAUGCAGCACUAAUUAAAAACUCACCCAGCCUCUUGACGAGGUUUGGGUAACGAAAAAAAAAAGUGCAGUUAUUUAAUUAUUUCCUCCAUUUAAUGUUUUGUUGCUGUAAUGACAACAAGCAAGAAGCGCUUCUUGUUCUUCUUUCCUCAAAAUAAAAUUCUUGUCUCCUCCUGAGGGACUUAAUGAGGCUUUUAUCUAUG
rnacentral:lncRNA from 1 species